AUUGAACGCUGGCGGCAUGCCUUACACAUGCAAGUCGAACGGUAACGGGCCUUCGGGUGCCGACGAGUGGCGAACGGGUGAGUAAUACAUCGGAACGUGCCCGAUCGUGGGGGAUAACGAGGCGAAAGCUUUGCUAAUACCGCAUACGAUCUACGGAUGAAAGCAGGGGACCGCAAGGCCUUGCGCGGACGGAGCGGCCGAUGGCAGAUUAGGUAGUUGGUGGGAUAAAAGCUUACCAAGCCGACGAUCUGUAGCUGGUCUGAGAGGAUGAUCAGCCACACUGGGACUGAGACACGGCCCAGACUCCUACGGGAGGCAGCAGUGGGGAAUUUUGGACAAUGGGCGCAAGCCUGAUCCAGCCGUGCCGCGCGCAGGAUGAAGGCCUUCGGGUUGUAAACUGCUUUUGUACGGAACGAAAAGCCUUCUUUUAAUACAGGAGGGUCAUGACGGUACCGUAAGAAUAAGCACCGGCUAACUACGUG
rnacentral:rRNA from 1 species